GACGAACGCUGGCGGCGUGCCUAAUACAUGCAAGUAGAACGCUGAAGAGAGGAGCUUACUCUUCUUGGAUGAGUUGCGAACGGGUGAGUAACGCGUAGGUAACCUGCCUUGUAGCGGGGGAUAACUAUUGGAAACGAUAGCUAAUACCGCAUAACAAUGGAUGACACAUGUCAUUUAUUUGAAAGGGGCAAUUGCUCCACUACAAGAUGGACCUGCGUUGUAUUAGCUAGUAGGUGAGGUAAUGGCUCACCUAGGCGACGAUACAUAGCCGACCUGAGAGGGUGAUCGGCCACACUGGGACUGAGACACGGCCCAGACUCCUACGGGAGGCAGCAGGAGGGAAUCUUCGGCAAUGGGGGCAACCCUGACCGAGCAACGCCGCGGGAGUGAAGAAGGUUUUCGGAUCGUAAAGCUCUGUUGUAAGUCAAGAACGGGUGUGAGAGUGGAAAGUUCACACUGUGACGGUAGCUUACCAGAAAGGGACGGCUAACUACGUG
rnacentral:rRNA from 1 species